rnacentral:misc_RNA from 1 species
GAUGAAGAACGCAGCGAAAUGCGAUAAGUAAUGUGAAUUGCAGAAUUCAGUGAAUCAUCGAAUCUUUGAACGCAUCUUGCGCUCCUUGGUAUUCCGGAAGGCAUGCCUGUUCGAGCGUCAUCUCAACCCUCGAGCCCCCCCGGGGGCUCGGCGUUGGGGACCGGCCCCGCCCCAGGGCGCGCCGCCCCCCAAAUCCAGUGGCGGUCCCGCCGCAGCCUCCCCUGCGCAGUAGCUUGCACACUCGCACCGGAGAGCGGCGCGGCCACGCCGUAAAACCCCCCGACCACGGAGCCCCGGGUCCUGAACGUUGACCUCGGAUCAGGUAGGAAUACCCGCUGAACUUAAGCAUAUCAAUAAGCGGACGA